GUGCCAGCAGCCGCGGUAAUACGUAGGUGGCAAGCGUUGUCCGGAUUUAUUGGGCGUAAAGCGAGCGCAGGCGGUUUCUUAAGUCUGAUGUGAAAGCCUUCGGCUCAACCGAAGAAGUGCAUCGGAAACUGGGAAACUUGAGUGCAGAAGAGGACAGUGGAACUCCAUGUGUAGCGGUGAAAUGCGUAGAUAUAUGGAAGAACACCAGUGGCGAAGGCGGCUGUCUGGUCUGUAACUGACGCUGAGGCUCGAAAGCAUGGGUAGCAAACAGGAUUAGAUACCCUGGUAGUCCAUGCCGUAAACGAUGAGUGCUAGGUGUUGGAGGGUUUCCGCCCUUCAGUGCCGCAGCUAACGCAUUAAGCACUCCGCCUGGGGAGUACGACCGCAAGGUUGAAACUCAAAGGAAUUGACGGGGGCCCGCACAAGCGGUGGAGCAUGUGGUUUAAUUCGAAGCAACGCGAAGAACCUUACCAGGUCUUGACAUCCUUUGACCACUCUAGAGAUAGAGCUUUCCCUUCGGGGACAAAGUGACAGGUGGUGCAUGGUUGUCGUCAGCUCCUGUCGUGAGAUGUUGGGUUAAGUCCCGCAACGAGCGCAACCCUUAUUACUAGUUGCCAGCAUUUAGUUGGGCACUCUAGUGAGACUGCCGGUGACAAACCGGAGGAAGGUGGGGACGACGUCAAAUCAUCAUGCCCCUUAUGACCUGGGCUACACACGUGCUACAAUGGAUGGUACAACGAGUCGCGAGACCGCAAGGUUUAGCUAAUCUCUUAAAACCAUUCUCAGUUCGGAUUGUAGGCUGCAACUCGCCUACAUGAAGCCGGAAUCGCUAGUAAUCGCGGAUCAGCAUGCCGCGGUGAAUACGUUCCCGGGCCUUGUACACACCGCCCGU
rnacentral:rRNA from 1 species